UACGUAGGGUGCGAGCGUUGUCCGGAACUAUUGGGCGUAAAGAGCUCGUAGGCGGUGUGUCACGUCGGCCGUGAAAACCUGCAGCUUAACUGUGGGCGUGCGGUCGAUACGGGCAUCACUGGAGUUCGGCAGGGGAGACUGGAAUUCCUGGUGUAGCGGUGAAAUGCGCAGAUAUCAGGAGGAACACCGGUGGCGAAGGCGGGUCUCUGGGCCGAUACUGACGCUGAGGCGCGAAAGCGUGGGGAGCAAACAGG
rnacentral:rRNA from 1 species